AGAGUUUGAUCCUGGCUCAGAACGAACGCUGGCGGGCAUGCUAACACAUGCAGUCGAAUGUAACAGGAAACAGCUUGCUGUUUCGCUGACGAGUGGCGGACGGGUGAGUAAUGUCUGGGAACUGCCUGAUGGAGGGGGAUAACUACUGGAAACGGUAGCUAAUACCGCAUAACGUCGCAAGACCAAAGAGGGGGACCUUCGGGCCUCUUGCCAUCAGAUGUGCCCAGAUGGGAUUAGCUAGUAGGUGGGGUAACGGCUCACCUAGGCGACGAUCCCUAGCUGGUCUGAGAGGGUGACCAGCCACACUGGAACUGAGACACGGUCCAGACUCCUACGGGAGGCAGCAGUGGGGAAUAUUGCACAAUGGGCGCAAGCCUGAUGCAGCCAUGCCGCGUGUAUGAAGAAGGCCUCGGGUUGUAAAGUACUUUCAGCGGGGAGGAAGGGAGUAAAGUUAAUACCUUUGCUCAUUGACGUUACCCGCAGAAGAAGCACCGGCUAACUCCGUGCCAGCAGCCGCGGUAAUACGGAGGGUGCAAGCGUUAAUCGGAAUUACUGGGCGCAAAGCGCACGCAGGCGGUUUGUUAAGUCAGAUGUGAAAUCCCCGGGCUCAACCUGGGAACUGCAUCUGAUACUGGCAAGCUUGAGUCUCGUAGAGGGGGGUAGAAUUCCAGGUGUAGCGGUGAAAUGCGUAGAGAUCUGG
rnacentral:rRNA from 1 species